AAGUUACUGUACUGUAGGUUACUGUAGGUCACUGCAGACUGCUGUACUGUAGGUUACUCUACUUUAGGUCACUUUACUGUAGGUUCUGCAUUGAAGGGGCAGUCUCUCUGGGAGAGGGGCUGAGCUGGUAGAGAGAGAGAGGCUGAGCUGGUAGAGGGAGGCUGAGCUGGUAGAGAGAGGCUGAGCUGGUAGAGAGAGGAUGAGCUGGUAGAGAGAGGCUGAGCUGGUAGAGAGAGAGGCUGAGCUGGUAGAGAGAGAGAGAGGCUGAGCUGGUAGAGAGAGGCUGGAGCUGGUAGAGAGAGAGGCUGAGCUGGUAGAGAGAGAGGCUGAGCUGGUAGAGAGAGAGGCUGAGCUGGUAGAGAGAGGAUGAGCUGGUAGAGAGAGUGGCUGAGCUGGUAGAGAGAGGGCUGAGCUGGUAGAGAGAGAGGCUGAGCUGGUAGAGAGAGAGAGAGAGGCUGAGCUGGUAGAGAGAGAGGCUGAGCUGGUGGAGAGAGAGAGAGCUGAGCUGGUAGAGAGAGAGAGGCUGAGCUGGUAGAGAGAGGCUGAGCUGGUAGAGAGAGAGGCUGAGCUGGUAGAGAGAGGCUGAGCUGGUAGAGAGAGGCUGAGCUGGUAGAGAGAGGCUGAGAUGGUAGAGAGAGGCUGAGAUGGUAGAGAGAGGCUGAGCUGGUAGAGAGAGAGAGGCUGAGCAGGCUGAGAGAGAGAGAGACUGAGCUGGUAGAGAGAGAGAGGCUGAGCUGGUAGAGAGAGGCUGAGCUGGGAGAGAGAGGCUGAGCUGGUAGAGAGAGGCUGAGCUGGUAGAGAGAGAGGCUGAGCUGGUAGAGAGAGAGAGGCUGAGCUGGUAGAGAGAGAGAGAGGCUGAGCUGGUAGAGAGAGAGAGGCUGAGCUGGUAGAGAGAGAGAGGCUGAGCUGGUAGAGAGAGAGGCUGAGCUGGUAGAGAGAGAGGCUGAGCUGGUAGAGAGAGGCUGAGCUGGUAGAGAGAGGCUGAGCUGGUAGAGAGAGGCUGAGCUGGUAGAGAGAGGCUGAGCUGGUAGAGAGAGAGAGGCUGAGCUGGUAGAGAGAGGCUGAGCUGGUAGAGAGAG
ensembl:lncRNA